rnacentral:lncRNA from 1 species
GCACAGCACUCUGCGCUGACCUGCUCCAUGAAUUUGCCAGGGACUGGGGCGAGGCUGACUGGCCUGUAGUUCCCCGGAUCCUCCUCCUUCCCUUUUUUAAAGAUGGGCACUACCUUAGCCUUUUUCCAGUCAUCUGGACUUGUUUCCUUUGCCCCUCUGGCUGACUCAGCAUCUUCCCUCCCUGGCAUGGAAGGGUGAAAGGCUCAGCCCUGCAGCAGUGGAGGUACCCUACGUGCAGCCUCCAGAAUAGCUUUCCUCCAUUUUGUGCAGCCAAAGUGGUCCUGUGCCAAUAUAGCAUCUGCAUCCAACACCAAGCCAGGGCAGGAUCCAGAGCCAGGAUUCCACAGCAUUGAUGCCUGCUAGAAUUGUGGCAUUCCUGGUUAUAAGGAAUUCCUCUUAGAACAAGACCUCAAAUGAUGUGAAUGCCUGCGGACACUGGGCAUGCAGGAAGAACGGUCUGGCCUUUCCCCUCACGGGAAGGAGGAAUCAGCGCCCUGCUCGGGAGGUCGUGGUGGAUCUAGCUGGCUUUGCUGAAGCUGCUGGGUCUAAAAUGAAUUGUCUCUUGCUCAGUUCCAGGCUCCCCCACCGGGAUAAAAGCCUUCCCAUCUUCUGCCAGCAGCAUGGUCGUGUCCUGGCUUCCCCCCAGCUAAGUCGAACAGGAUCAUCCGGAAGUACACCAUCUUCUACUCCAGCCCUGGGUCCGGACAGCCGGUCCCUGUCUGAUCGUUGGGGUCAGCCGAGAUGGUAGCCUCACACAAGGAUAAUCUGGGGUGGUCCCUAAAAGCCAGGACUUGUCCGAGCAGAGGUUAGGUUGCCCAGACUGUUGCUAUGACUAGUAUGGCUGUACUGGUGGGGGGGAGGGGAAGGAGGGGGCGGGGUUGGUGGCUGCAUCAAAGCCUGGGCGGGAAGAGGUGCAUGAAAGGGUGUUGAACAGAUGUGUCCCCUUAGUUCUCCAACCUGGAGUGCUUUUUACACUGCUUUGCUGUGAUAAGCACCACUACUGGUCAGUUCAUACACAGCCUCCAGGUUGUGAAUUACUCCCAGCUAUACAGCAUGAGUGUCGGCAACCAGCCACACAAUGUUACGCUGCAGGAGAAGAGCAGCAAAUUCCCAGUCUCAGACUCCCCCUCACCUCCAGCAAUGUGCAUCUUGUACUGCCCAGGACACUAGUGGACAGCAUGAGCUCAUAUAAAGGCUGUUGUUUCAUUAAUAGAAAAUGAUACGCUGAAGCCAUGUUAUCUCAAGUGGAAGGUCCCAAAUGCACUGGUUAGCUAAUACAAUUGUUUUAUUGUUAUUCUUUCUUUCUGUAGUUAAAAGUCAGCAGUUCUCCAACUGGGGGCCCUGAUGAGAAAGGGGGUUGCGGUAUUGCAAACCUUACUUGCGUGCUGCCUUUAGAGCUGGGUGGCUGGAGAGUGGUGGCUGCUAGCUGGGUGCCCAGCUGUGAAGGCAGCACCGCUGCCAGCAGCAGUGCAGAAGUACGGGUGGCAGUACCAUACCAUGCCAGGUCAGCAGCUGAUGCUGUAUCACUGCCCAGCUUUGAAGGCAGCGCAUAACUAAGAGUGGCAUGGUAUGGGGAGGGAGGUUGUCACAGCCUGCAAUAUUUUCAAAGGGGGUCCCAGCCAAAAUGUUUGAGAUUGUUUGUCUGUUUUAAAUUAUUACAAGUACUGAGGCAUAAAAGUGAGAUUUGGUUAAAAAGAAAAUAAGAUAAAAUGCAAAGUAA